AUUCACUUAUAUGGUAUGUUGCUGACUAUUUACCUGUGAUGCACUUAUAUUGUAUGUUGCUGACUAUUUUACUUGUGACGAACUUAUAUUGUAUGUUGCUGACUAUUUUACUUGUGAUGCACUUAUAUUGUAUGCUGCUUAUUUUACUUGUGAUGAACUAAUAUGUAUGUUGCUUAUUUUACUUGUGAUGAACAUAUAUUGUAUGUUGUUGACUAUUUUAUAUCAAAUUUCCAUUAUCUUAGAUAAGAGACCAUGGAGGUCACGGCAUUGUGUCCUUGAUGUAGCUAGUUUCUUGCUUUUGAUGUAUCUUUGUUUAUUGUGUUUCACUUAUUCCACUAUUUUACUGCUGUCACUGAUCCUUUUCUGAUUUCUCUCUACUUGCUUUCCUUAUUAGUGAUCAUGUUUUCUUCGUUGCCUUUUUUCCUGUUCCAUUUCUAUUUUGAUUCUUUGCACUCCAGUUGAGUUUCCUUCUGAAACAACCUCUCUACCUCCACGAGGCAGGGGGUAAGGUCUGCAUACACUUUACCCUCCCCAAAACUCCAUUUGUCAGAUUUCACUUUCACUGUGUAUGUUGUUGUUGUUAGAAAUGUUGCUUGAGGAAUUCAAUAAUUCAGCUGUGACUUGUCUGAUUUUAUGUACCGGCGGAAGUUCCUAUUACAUGCUGUGCAAAUUGUGAUUGUUGAUCUCAUGUUUUUUAAAUAAAAAUUGCCUUUUGCUCUGUUAGCUGGGAAAAUUUCUAAAUAUUUCAAAGUAUGUCUUUUGGCAACCUCCUUCGAUUACGAGCUUUAUGAAGGAAAUCCUGAUCAUCUCAGAACUGUAGUUGCUGCAACUGCCCCAGCCGGGUCCGUACAUUGAUCCUGCUUCGAUCAAACUUAAGCAUAGGAUGCUUUGGUGAUGUUUGGUCAGCCAAAUAUACUGGGAAAAUGUCUAAAGAUUUCAAAGUAUGUCCUUUGGCAACCUCCUUCGAUUACGAGCUUUAUUAAGGAGAUCCUGAUCAUCUCAAAACUGUUGUUGCUGCAACUGCCCCAGCCGGGUCCGUACAUUGAUCCUGCGUCGAUCAACUUAAACAUAGGAUCGGACGUGGAUGCUUUGGUGAUGUUUGGUCAGCCAAACAUCAUCAAUCAGCCACUGAUUACGAUGCGAAUCAUGAAGUAGCUAUAAAGAUGUUACAAUCCUGUAAAUGAGGAUAAAGUAAAGGCCUUAGUUUCUUCAGUAAGUUCGAGGAGUUAUGGGUGAAUUUGAAGUCUAAACAACUUUCCAAGGUGUUUGCUGGUUGCAUGUUGUCUCUGUAAUAUCUGGAAAGGUGAAUUACUGUAUUUUUGUGUACGUCAUUUCACUUACCUCUAUAUGGGACCUUAUAUUUGUUUAUCG